UAAGCACUUGUACGAAAAUUCGAAAAUACUAACCGAGGAGGAUCCCACUAUAUUUGUUGGCAUGUCAAUCACCUAAAACAGUGCAAAUGCAACAGACUCAGCAAGCCACGGAGGUAACUUUCUCCAUGGCCGAGGCACGGCCGAAGCAGGUUGCUCUAGCAAUGGACAAACUCGGACAGGAGGACAACUUGCCGGUCAAGCUGGUGCUUCUGCCGUCGACAGGAGUAGGUUCGUUUCAGCUCUUUGGGUUGGUUUCUGUCACAGCUUAAGCUUUUCCCUUUUGUAGUUAGUUCAUUUUGAUGAAUGUUGUGGUAUUGUGUAAGUAAAGGAAUUGGAUCAAACGGAAAACAGUUGAUCUUUUUACUAAUGAUAAGGCAAACAGUGAAGUGAGUGUUGGAAUCCAGUGUUCUUAAUUAGAAAAGUGUGUAUUUCUUUCUGAAGAUUUGAAUAUGUUAGUUCUUAAAACUUUACUAUUACCUCCUGAAUUCAUAGCAAAUGAUAGUAAUACAUGAAAUGCGGUUUAGGUUUAGCCAAGUUAUGCUGCGAGAUAACUGCCUCAUAC
rnacentral:lncRNA from 1 species